rnacentral:rRNA from 1 species
GAUGAACGCUGGCGGCGUGCUUAACACAUGCAAGUCGAACGGAAAGGCUCCUGCUUGCAGGGGUACUCGAGUGGCGAACGGGUGAGUAACACGUGGGUGAUCUGCCCUGCACUUCGGGAUAAGCCUGGGAAACUGGGUCUAAUACCGGAUAGGACGAUGGUUUGGAUGCCAUUGUGGAAAGUUUUUCGGUGUGGGAUGAGCUCGCGGCCUAUCAGCUUGUUGGUGGGGUAAUGGCCUACCAAGGCGUCGACGGGUAGCCGGCCUGAGAGGGUGUACGGCCACAUUGGGACUGAGAUACGGCCCAGACUGCUACGGGAGGCAGCAGUGGGGAAUAUUGCACAAUGGGCGGAAGCCUGAUGCAGCGACGCCGCGUGGGGGAUGACGGCCUUCGGGUUGUAAACUCCUUUCGCUAGGGACGAAGCGCAAGUGACGGUACCUGGAGAAGAAGCACCGGCUAACUACGUG